rnacentral:misc_RNA from 1 species
CUCUCUCUCUCUCUCUCUAUUUUAUUUUCUAUAUAUAUAAACAAAGAAAUCAUAAUUCAAGCUAAAGAUAAGCCAUCAACCCCGCACCGGUUUUGCCCACGAACCAGCCUUCAUUUCUGUGCCUCAACUGACUUUACCCUUAUCAGUUUUCCUUCUCUCUUCUUCAUCUUUAUCAGAAAAAUAUGGAGUACUGCAUGGCUGCAAGAGCCUUGAAAUCAAGUUUACGCAGCGAACUCGCCUCCAAAUAUACCCAACAAACUCUCUUUGAGGAUAUCUUGUUUUCCAAUGCAAAUAAUGGUGUUGUUUCGUGCGAAGAUUUCUCUGUUGAUGGUUUCUUUGACUUCUCUAAUGGCGAAUGUUAUAUUCAAGAGCAAAACUUGUUAGAAGUAGAGGAGGAAGAGGACGAGGAAGAAGAGAAAGAUUCUCUUUCUGUUUCGUCUCAAGAUCGUGUGGAUGAUGACAACACCAAUUCUAGCACCUUUUCUGAUUCUCUCCUCACCAGCGAAUUCUCUGUACCAGUUGAAGAUUUGGCUGAUCUAGAAUGGGUUUCUCAAAUUGUGGAUGAUUCUUCCUCAGAAUUCUCCCUUCAGUACCCUUGGACAGCAGAGAGCCAUGCAAUAAACAACAGAUUUCAACCACAAACCCAGCCGGCCAAAGUUUCAUGUCUUUUCCCUGCUCCAAUCCCAUCCAAGCCAAGAUCCAAACGGCUCAGACCCACCCCUAGGACCUGGUCAGUUGGUUCUCCGAUCACAGAGUUAUCAUCAUCACCAUCAUCUUCUUCUUCUUCUCCGGCAUCAUCUUCUGCUUCAACGCCAUGUCUUGUUCCCGCCAACACUGUCCAAAGCAUUGACUCGUUAUUGACGGAACCACCAAUGAAAAAACCAAAGAAAAAACUUACACCUCAAAUCGGUGGUGCUCUGGGGUCAACCCAGUUCCAGCGGCGGUGUAGUCAUUGUCAGGUUCAAAAGACUCCGCAGUGGAGAACCGGUCCGCUCGGGCCCAAGACGCUAUGUAACGCUUGCGGUGUUCGUUAUAAAUCGGGCCGGCUUUUUCCAGAAUAUAGACCGGCUUGUAGCCCAACCUUUUCAGUGGAUGUUCACUCCAACAGUCAUCGGAGAGUAUUGGAGAUGAGGAAGAAAAAGGAAAUGGCCGAGCCAGAGUCCGGGUCGAUUCUAAAUUUUUGAAGGUUUUAGGACCAUGAGUUAGGUUUACGUGAACCGGUAACCGAACCCGGUUUAAGGUCUGUUUGCAGGAUUCAGGAUUUGUAACAGUAACAGAUUAUAGGUAAGCUAGGUAAUUUUCUUAUUAUAGGGUGAAAUUCUAUUUCUAGUAUUUUUAUUUAGUUUUUUUUUUAAUUUUUAUUACCUUUAAUUUUAGGACUAGUUGAUGAAAAGGAAAGAAUUUAC